rfam:Triticum aestivum genome assembly, contig: Triticum_aestivum_CS42_TGACv1_scaffold_221694_3B
CACGUACUCCCUCCGUCCGUUAAUACUUGUAAUCAAAAUGGAUAGAAGGAAAUGUAUCUAGACGUAUUUUAGUUCUAGAUACAUCCCUAUUUAUUUAUUUUGAUGACAAGUAUUUUCAAACAGAGGGAGUACUUU